rnacentral:rRNA from 1 species
GCAAGUCGAACGAUUAAGACUCCUUCGGAGAGUGUAUAAAGUGGCGCACGGGUGAGUAACACGUAGGUAAUGUGCCUUUGGGUGGGGAAUAACUUAGGGAAACUUAAGCUAAUACCGCAUAAUGCAGCGGCUCGACAUCGAGACAGUUGUUAAAGAUUUAUCGCCUAAAGAGCAGCCUGCGGCAGAUUAGCUAGUUGGUAAGGUAAUGGCUUACCAAGGCUACGAUCUGUAUCCGACCUGAGAGGGUGGUCGGACACACUGACACUGAAUAACGGGUCAGACUCCUACGGGAGGCAGCAGUCGGGAAUUUUGGGCAAUGGGCGAAAGCCUGACCCAGCAACGCCGCGUG